rnacentral:lncRNA from 1 species
AACAAUUGUUUAGGAGAGAAUCAAAGCAAUUGGUAAGUUUACUCUCCUUAUUGUCCAUGAGAUUUCCAAUCACUCUAUUUAGGGUUUAUAUUAGCAUAAUUUUAGAUUGAUACAAAUUAUAAUACAUGAUUUAAGGUGUGUUUAGGUUUUGUUUAGGGUUUUGAUUUAUUGUGGGUUUUAAUAAUCAACCAUUGGCAUAUUAAGCACACUGGACAAAGUUUGGACAAUAUGAGUAUCUUAAAUUCAAACAUAUAUUUUCUUAAUGAUAUUUCUUAAGAACUUUACAUUUCUAAAAACUAGACAUAUAGAGCUUAUUGAUUAAAUUUUGUUUCAUAAGAUUUGACUUUUUUUUUCAAUUUUAUAUGGAUUUUUGAACAGGACACUAAUACACUGGAAAACUGUGAUUCCAGCAAGGAAAUCAGAUUCAUAAACUUAUUUGUACUAUUAAAUGAACUCUAAACAUUCUGACAUUUUAUAUAGGAGUUGAUACACUUGUCUAGUAUUCCUAGUUUUAAUUUCAUAAUUUUCUUAUUUGUAUAUGAUUUUAUAAAAUUCUCAGAAUACGUUCUGUUCGGUUAAGGUACUAUGAAAUAGUUUUGAAUUUGUCAAGUAAUAAAUAGUUUUGAAAAUGUUUUUGGUAUCGGAUCCUCUUGGAAAGUUUAUAUGAGGUACCCAUGGAUAUCCAAAAUGGUUCUACAGAAUAUUAUGUCAUUUUGUUUUAGAUUAAGAGUUAAAAUUCUAAGAAUUAGACUAGUACGGGUAUGAAUUAGCAAAUCAGACUCUUAGGAUAAGUUAUUAAUAGUUAUAUCCUAUAUUUGUUAAGGUGUUGGAGGUGAUUGGGACUUUUAGAGGCUUAGAGGUGUGUUAGUUCAAAUCCCUUUAUCGAGGUAAGUAACUUCAUUUCUAGUAUACUGAAUAUGUACAAGUAUUUUGAUAUUAUUAUUAUAAGUAAAAAUAUUUUUAUACUACUUAGAAGAUUAAUGGAUUUUCAUAACAAAAUUAGUUUUAUGUAAAUGUUUUAAAGCCUAAAUUCUUUUUAACAAAGUAUUUUAUAAAUGCUUUUUAAUAUGUAAAUUAUUACCUUUUAUGAUUUUAUCUUUAAAAUGUUAUGCAAGCCUAAAUUAUUGAUAUGAACUUUUAUGAAUCUGAUACGAAUGUUUUGUACCCAUGUCUUAUUUCAAUUAUUGAUGAUUGUAUGGGAUUCCUAAUGUUUUGGCUCAUUGUCUAUAGUUAUUCUGAUUCUGAUUUUGAUUCUGAUCGUAAUAUACGAUAUAUCUCUAUGGACCAGUACUGGGUUUUUGUUUUAAGUGUGCACACGAUAUUCUGAUUCUGUUUUUGGCCAGGUCACCGGGACUAUAGGUGACACUAUAUGACAUGAGCUAACCUUUUGUUUUCUGUGAAUGUGAUAUAUGAUUUGCUUUCGUAAGUAACAAUGCUUUUGAUAUUCUGAGAUACAAUGAAUUUAUGUUAUUUUAUCAUGAUAUAUCGUUUUAUGAAAUUUAUAGAUUAUGAUAUCUGUUUUAAAUAAAAGAAGGCUUGCAAUAUUUUUGCUAUCAAUAGGCCUAGUGUGUUAGGAAUCGUUUUACUUACAGAGUUGACGGCUCACCCCUCAUUAUUAUUUUUUGCAGAUUAAGUUCCGUUUGAAAGGUGUGUCUAGCUUUGGAGUUAGUGAUUUCAUUUCCGUUUGCUAUUUGAAUAAGAAGAGGAAUGAACUUAUGUUUCUAUUUAGUUUAUUUAUAUUAUGAACUUGUAAUUUGGAGUUUGAGACUUUUGUUAUUUUUGGGAGAGACUAUUUAGUGUAUAAUAGGUGAAUUUGUG